rnacentral:rRNA from 1 species
UACGUAGGGUGCAAGCGUUGUCCGGAAUUAUUGGGCGUAAAGAGCUCGUAGGCGGUUUGUCGCGUCUGCUGUGAAAACCCGAGGCUCAACCUCGGGCCUGCAGUGGGUACGGGCAGACUAGAGUGCGGUAGGGGGAGACUGGAAUUCCUGGUGUAGCGGUGAAAUGCGCAGAUAUCAGGAGGAACACCGGUGGCGAAGGCGGGUCUCUGGGCCGAUACUGACGCUGAGGAGCGAAAGCCAGGGGAGCAAACGGG